rnacentral:lncRNA from 9 species
AUGGUGCCGGCAGACGCUAAGCAACUUGAGUGACAGCUGUUAUUCUUCUUUUUUACCUCUCAGAUCUGGAAAGGCCCCAGGCAUUCAGAUCCAAUAGGAAAAACCAUGGAUGAUCCAAAGUAGUGAUGACCUCACCCCAUCCAGAUAGCCGUCCACAUGGAGGAAAGAGUCCAGAGCAAAAAGGCCCUGCUCCUCCCAUCAUGACAUCAAUAGAGAGGCAUUUCACCAUCUGGAGCAGUUUCGGGGCGUUUUUCCCAAGGAAGACAGCAAAGAACUGGUGCAUCCCUUGAAGAGGGUUAAAGCGGAGCAGAGCCCAGUUACAGACGUGGAACUCAAUUCAGGUAAGAAUUUCUGACACCAUCCCUCAGAGCGAUAGAGGACAUUA